GUAGGUGAACCUGCGGAAGGAUCAUUAGAGAUUGGCUCCGGCCGUUUUUCAAUCCACACACACCGUGAACCGUUCCCACGUCCUCCGGGGCGCGGGACUAACCAACCAAACAUUGUCUAAAGAACGUGAAAUGUCGUAAACAAAACAAAACUUUCAACAACGGAUCUCUUGGCUCUC
rnacentral:misc_RNA from 1 species